UAUAUAUCUCCGUCCGGAAAUACUUGUCCUAGAAAUGGUUGUAUUUAGACUUAUUUUAGUUAUAGAUACAUUCAUUUUAUUCAUUUUUAGGACAAGUAUUUCCGGAAGGAAGGAGUAUAUU
rnacentral:pre_miRNA from 1 species